UACAGAGGUCUCAAGCGUUGUUCGGAUUCAUUGGGCGUAAAGGGUGCGUAGGCGGCGGCGUAAGUCGGGUGUGAAAUCCCAGGGCUCAACCCUGGAACUGCACUCGAUACUGCGUUGCUGGAGGACUGGAGAGGAGACUGGAAUUCACGGUGUAGCAGUGAAAUGCGUAGAUAUCGUGAGGAAGGCCAGUGGCGAAGGCGAGUCUCUGGACAGUUCCUGACGCUGAGGCACGAAGGCCAGGGGAGCAAACGGG
rnacentral:rRNA from 1 species